rnacentral:rRNA from 1 species
ACAUGCCUACAGGAUAGUGUUAAUGCACCGGAUCCCAUUAGAACUUUGCAAUUAAGCACACUCAAGCUAGAGUAGUAUUGGGAUGGGUGAUCGCCCUGGAAUUUCUAGUGUUUUACAUGCU